GCCCAGCUUGCUGGAUGGAUUAGUGACGAACGGGUGAGUAACACCUGAGUAACCUGCCCCCGACUCUGACAUAACCCCGGGAAACUGGGUCUAAUACCGGAUAUGACCUCGCACCGCAUGGUGCGGGGUGGAAAGAUUUAUCGGUGGGGGAUGGACUCGCGGCCUAUCAGCUUGUUGGUGAGGUAAUGGCUCACCAAGGCGACGACGGGUAGCCGGCCUGAGAGGGUGACCGGCCAACUGGGACUGAGACACGGCCCAUACCCCUACGGGAGGCAGCAGUGGGGAAUAUUGCACAAUGGGCGCAAGCCUGAUGCAGCGACGCCGCGUGAGGGAUGACGGCCUUCGGGUUGUAAACCUCUUUCAGUAGGGAAGAAGCGAAAGUGACGGUACCUGCAGAAGAAGCGCCGGCUAACUACGUGCCAGCAGCCGCGGUAAUACGUAGGGCGCAAGCGUUAUCCGGAUUUAUUGGGCGUAAAGAGCUCGUAGGCGGUUUGUCGCGUCUGCCGUGAAAGUCCGAGGCUCAACCUCGGAUCUGCGGUGGGUACGGGCAGACUAGAGUGAUGUAGGGGAGACUGGAAUUCCUGGUGUAGCGGUGAAAUGCGCAGAUAUCAGGAGGAACACCGAUGGCGAAGGCAGGUCUCUGGGCAUUUACUGACGCUGAGGAGCGAAAGCAUGGGGAGCGAACAGGAUUAGAUACCCUGGUAGUCCAUGCCGUAAACGUUGGGCACUAGGUGUGGGGGACAUUCCACGUUUUCCGCGCCGUAGCUAACGCAUUAAGUGCCCCGCCUGGGGAGUACGGCCGCAAGGCUAAAACUCAAAGGAAUUGACGGGGGCCCGCACAAGCGGCGGAGCAUGCGGAUUAAUUCGAUGCAACGCGAAGAACCUUACCAAGGCUUGACAUGUGCCAGACCGCUCCAGAGAUGGGGUUUCCCUUCGGGGCUGGUUCACAGGUGGUGCAUGGUUGUCGUCAGCUCGUGUCGUGAGAUGUUGGGUUAAGUCCCGCAACGAGCGCAACCCUCGUUCCAUGUUGCCAGCACGUAGUGGUGGGGACUCAUGGGAGACUGCCGGGGUCAACUCGGAGGAAGGUGGGGAUGACGUCAAAUCAUCAUGCCCCUUAUGUCUUGGGCUUCACGCAUGCUACAAUGGCCGGUACAAUGGGUUGCGAUACUGUGAGGUGGAGCUAAUCCCUAAAAGCCGGUCUCAGUUCGGAUUGGGGUCUGCAACUCGACCCCAUGAAGUCGGAGUCGCUAGUAAUCGCAGAUCAGCAACGCUGCGGUGAAUACGUUCCCGGGCCUUGUACACACCGCCCGUCAAGUCACGAAAGUUGGUAACACCCGAAGCCGAUGGCCUAACCACCUUG
rnacentral:rRNA from 2 species